rnacentral:rRNA from 1 species
UUCCAGACUCCUACGGGAGGCAGCAGUGAGGAAUAUUGGUCAAUGGGCGGAAGCCUGAACCAGCCAAGUCGCGUGAGGGAAUAAGGCCCUACGGGUCGUAAACCUCUUUUGCCGGGGAGCAAGGGCGGGGACGUGUCCCGGCCCGGAGAGUACCCGGAGAAAAAGCAUCGGCUAACUCCGUGCCAGCAGCCGCGGUAAUACGGAGGAUGCGAGCGUUAUCCGGAUUUAUUGGGUUUAAAGGGUGCGCAGGCGGCGUGUCAAGCAAGCGGUAAAAUAGCGGGGCUCAACCCCGUCGAGCCGUUUGAACUGGCGCGCUUGAGUUCAGGCGAGGUAGGCGGAAUUCGUGGUGUAGCGGUGAAAUGCAUAGAUAUCACGAAGAACUCCGAUUGCGAAGGCAGCUUACCAGUCUGCGACUGACGCUCAGGCACGAAAGUGUGGGUAUCGAACAGGAUUAGAUACCCGGGUAUG